GUUCAAGAGUACGUGAAACCGUUCAGGGGUAAACCUGAGAAACCCGAAAGGUCGAAUGGGGAAAUUCAUUCGCGUUUCGAUUGUCGGCGUUGAGCUGUUGAGUGACUAACGGGGUACGCUUCGUUGGCACCUUCAGUUCUACGAACCGACUUCGAACGCGUGCACUUUUCCCCUAGUAGGACGUCGCGAUCCGUUGGGCGUCGGUCUAAGGCCUGCGGUGGAGCUCGCGUGGACGUUUCGGCGUUCCGCACGAACCCGCAGUGUCCCGAUCGACACGCUCGACGGUAUAAAGAUGGCGCGGGGCCGCUACACAGUUAGCGUUCGGCCUACGGCAAGCACGUGCGGUGUUUGAUGGCGAUCAGACCUGGUCGGAUCCCGUCCCCGGACGACUGUUGGCACGUAGUGUUCUCGAACAGACCUCGUUGAAACGCCGAUCUGCGACGCUAUUGCUUUGGGUACUUUCAGGACCCGUCUUGAAACACGGA
rnacentral:rRNA from 1 species